GUGGGGAAUCUUCCGCAAUGGACGAAAGUCUGACGGAGCGACGCCGCGUGAGUGAUGAAGGCCUUCGGGUCGUAAAGCUCUGUCAUCGGGGACGAACGGCCUCAGCAGGUAAUGGCUGGGGAUUGACGGUACCCGAGAAGGAAGCCACGGCUAACUACGUGCCAGCAGUCGCGGUAAUACGUAGGUGGCAAGCGUUGUCCGGAAUUAUUGGGCGUAAAGCGCGCGCAGGUGGGAUCUUAAGUCCAGUUUGAAAGUUGGGAGCUAAAAGUCGUGGUGGGAUGGGAACUGGGAUUCUUGAGUACCGGAGAGGAAAGCGGAAUUCCCCGUGUAGCGGUGAAAUGCGUAGAUAUGGGGAGGAACACCAGUGGCGAAGGCGGCUUUCUGGACGGUGUCUGACGCUGAGGCGCGAAAGCCAGGGGAGCGAACGGGAUUAGAAACCCGGGUAGUCC
rnacentral:rRNA from 1 species